GGAGACCGCCGCUAUGACAACCGGAGGUCAGAGGAGGCCGCCGCCAUGACAACCGGAGGUCAGAGGAGACCGCCGCUAUGACAACCGGAGGUCAGAGGAGACCGCCGCCAUGACAACCGGAGGAACUCAGAGGAGACUGCAUGAGCUCCGGCAGGCGGGGCAGCUGGUAGAAGAAGAAGGAGCUGCACUUGAGGAGCUGGCUGGGGUGACGCAGGGCGUAGUCUGACCGGGAGAACCAGGAGGAGAACCAGGAGAACAGGAGACCAGGAGGAGAACCAGGAGACCAGGAGGAGACCAGGAGACCAGGAGGAGAACCAG